rnacentral:tRNA from 2 species
GCCUUCGUAGCUCAAUGGAUAGAGCAACGGCCUUCUAAUCCGUAGGUUGUGGGUUCGAGUCCCACCGAGGGCA